UCCCGGUUCCAUCAGUUGGUAGAGCGCUCCACUGGAAAUGGAGAGGUGCCUGGUUCGAUAGCAGGACCAGGCG
rnacentral:tRNA from 1 species